rnacentral:lncRNA from 1 species
GUAGUCCCUGAGCUGCAACUUGAUGAUGUGGUGAUUUUACUAUUUCUCUUGGGAGGUUCAGGUACACACUGUGCCGUGGGUUCAUGGGAGACUUUGUUCAGACAGCAUUUUACACGACAGUCUGUUUAAAUGCUUUAGGGGACCAAAACAUCUAAAGGUACCUUGGCAGCAAGAUGGGGGAAUGAACUGAAGCCUAGGAAGGAAGCCUGGCCUGCCCUUGGCCUGACCACAGCCACCGCAGGGCUAGAGUCCUCCAGUAUCUCCUGAGGUGGGGAGCAGGUGGGCCGCUCCAUGAAAACCAACUAGAUGAUGGGAAAAUGGACAGCUUUGCUCAGGGCAAUCUUCCCACCCUGGCCCCCAAAAUUGGUACUAUAAACAUGGCACUCAAACAUGAGAAUGAUUUCUUAAAAUGUUAGAGGAACUAAAACUCCUUAAAUUGUAGAUUACCUCAAGGGCCAAUAUAGUUAACCAGACACACCUUAGGCAGAUACCUGUUUUCUCUGUCUCUCAAGGCCCAACUCACUAGUGACCAGUAUUUGUAAGGAGACCCAUCUUUCUCAUCUGCUAAAUCCAUGCCAGUGUUAGAGGCCUGCACCAGUCAGAGUCUGCGCCAGUGCUGGAGGCCUGCAGUCUGCUUUCACUUCACAAAAACCGUCUAAGUUGGAAGAACUGUCCUCUGGUGCCUCUUAACUUCCCGCAGCAAUGGCCCUGCCCAUGCCUGCCCACUUUCUGCUCUAACACUCCAGAGGCAGUGGGCAGCUUUUGGACCUAGGAGGGUGUAAGUAACUUCCCUGCAUAGACUUUAGUCAACAUCUCUUGUCUCUGGACAAGCGCAGAGCAACAAGCAGAAGUGGGGAGGUGGGG